GAUGAACGCUGGCGGCGUGCCUAAUACAUGCAAGUCGAGCGAACAGACGAGGAGCUUGCUCCUCUGACGUUAGCGGCGGACGGGUGAGUAACACGUGGAUAACCUACCUAUAAGACUGGGAUAACUUCGGGAAACCGGAGCUAAUACCGGAUAAUAUAUUGAACCGCAUGGUUCAAUAGUGAAAGACGGUUUUGCUGUCACUUAUAGAUGGAUCCGCGCCGCAUUAGCUAGUUGGUAAGGUAACGGCUUACCAAGGCAACGAUGCGUAGCCGACCUGAGAGGGUGAACGGCCACACUGGAACUGAGACACGGUCCAGACUCCUACGGGAGGCAGCAGUAGGGAAUCUUCCGCAAUGGGCGAAAGCCUGACGGAGCAGCGCCGCGUGAGUGAUGAAGGUCUUCGGAUCGUAAAACUCUGUUAUUAGGGAAGAACAAAUGUGUAAGUAACUAUGCACGUCUUGACGGUACCUAAUCAGAAAGCCACGGCUAACUACGUG
rnacentral:rRNA from 1 species